GGAGUCGGAAGCCUGCAACCUAAUUGCAAAGUAUGAAUUUUUUUUUUUUUUGGGCUAUACCCAUACUUGGCAGUUUUUGGCCCAAUUUUUCCCUUGGGCUACAGCCCAGACAGCCCUUCAAGUGGCUCCGUCCCUGCUCGCAGAAGGGACAUAGAGAGCCAACAGAGCAGAGGAACAAGGGACGGGAAAGCUCUCAGGGAAAUCGUCAACCUGGGCAGUCUAAACUAAUUCGAUUUCCUGGGGAGGCUUAAAAGGGUCAAGGAUCGGUUCAGAGAGAUGACACUGUGGUUUGAACAAGUCAUGCUUGAAGAUGAUGAUGAACGAAUUGGGGAAAAUGUAUCAGAAAAUUAACAACAACAACAACAAGAGGAUCAGAUUUUCAAUACUGAACCUACUGAUGAGCAUGUCCAAGGUCUUGAAAACACUGCAGUCACUAAGGUACUGAUAUCGAAUUCGAUUCUGAAUAAUGUGAUUAAUGAUUCUCUGGUUGGUUAUUUGUUGAUUGAAUUUGGUAUUAACAAGAAAUGUUUUUGUUGUGGCAUGGAAUAAAGAUUAUGAUAAGUAUGUACAUCCUUUGUUACUUAAGAAGCUGGAUAUAUCUAUGAAAUGCUUGCAUAAUUAAACGUUCCCAAGAUAAGUGAGCUCUAUAAAAUUUGUGCAUCUGGGUAUAAACUUUAGCUAAAUAUAUAUGCAGACCAUGGAGUAACAAGGAAGAGGGUUAAUUAGAGUUACAGUCCAACAUUGUUUAGGCAUAUAUAAGUAUGCACACCAUGGAGUAAGAAGGAAGAGGGGUGACAAUGUUGGUCUCUUUGACAUAUUUAAGCUACUACGUUUUCUCAAGCAAUGUUACGUUUCCUUAUGCUUUUUCCUUUUUAAGCCUCAUCCCCUUUCUUCAGUUUCCAUCUUCGUGCUAUUUGCAAUUUUUGGAAAGGUUAAUUAGAGUCCUGGAAAAGCAAGUUAACAUGCUAAAUUUGGUUGGUUAUAUAGAGUAUGUUUGAGUUUCUUUGCAUUUGCUGGGAAAGAUUCUUUUGUAUUACAAUCUUCUUCUGGAAUUUUGCAUCUACUACCAAGUUUCCAUCAAACAAAAUCAUAAUCUUCUUCUGGUGUAAUAUUGAUAUUUGGUGUUUCCCACCCCACUCCGAUCAUGUUUUCUUCAUGCAAUUUAUAAAUAUGUACUGAAAUUGUGCUUGAAUGUUGGACUGUAACUAUAGAGCUGCUUGCCUCUUUCUCAACUCCGAAGAAUUGAAAAAGAUGAUAUAUAUUUGAUAGAAGCUGGUACCAAUGAGGUUUUGCAUUUGGUGGUCCUAAAAGAACACUAAAGGUAUUGUGUUUCUAGAUCUUUGAGAGAUUGAGCUCCAGGUAAGCUUGAAUUUCGGGUGCUAUUGAUUGGGUUCUGAAAUUGGUUUUGUGGAUGAUUGUGUAUGCUGUGUUCAUUUUCUUUCUAGACUAGAUUUUCAUGUUAUGUACAUCUCUUGAUUUCUUGAUUAAAUUCGUCCAUGAUGCUCCCAAGUGUUCUUCAAGGCUUGAUGAUGUGAUGAGCAAGAGCAACGUGCUUCCGGAGUUUUGUAUUCACGGACCAACAGUGAUGUUGAAUGUGUAGAAGAGGCCAUGGUCAAGGUGCUGCGUGCAGUUACUUAGUCAAAUUGGGGAUUCUUGGAUGAUAAGUUUGCACAGCUAUGGCUUCAAGAUUCCGUGGUUGAGGUUGUUUCUCUGUUCUUUCAAGAUUCUGAGAAGCUUCUCAACAAUAUGGCCAGGGCUCUGUGAGUUUUUGUCUUAACCUUUACUGUCAAUUUUUUAUUUAUUUAUUUAUUUUUUUUGGAAAUAUUACUGUCAAUCUUUGAUUGCUUCAUUAUGGACAUUUUGGUUUGUAGUUGUAAUGAUUUGUGUGAAUAAUGUUGAUUGGUUUUUUAUUUUUAUUCUUUGUCUUCGUGUAGAGAGUAGAAUGUUGUAGAUUUCAAACAACUAGAUGCCUGUGUCCAUCAAUUCAAGGGUAGCAGUGCCUGGUAUUUCCAACUGCUGCGUUUUUUUCAGAAAACAGUUUUUGAUGUUGAGAUUGGUUUUUCCCUGUUGUGCAAUAUUGUGCUGUUUGUUUUUAAAAUUAUUUAGAAACUCUAAUGUGCUGUUAUUGCACUCUCUUGAAUGUUGCCAUUUAUUGCAUUUUAUGUAUGCUGAGUUUAAAGCUUCAUAUAUAUUGUAUAUAGUACUGCCAUGUAACCAAGUAACAAUUCACUCCCAAACAAGAACACUACCCUUCAACCUCCACACCAAACCAGGUUUCAUCCACAAAAAAGAGAAAUCCAGGCGCAAUGAGUAAGCCAGUUUUGGAAUCACCACCAAACAAAGUUCUGAAAAGCUCAGCUGAAAUUUCAAAGGAGCUAUCAUCUGUUGUAAAUGACGAAUCUGACUUUGUAGAGACAUCUGAGUAGCUUCUUGUUUAUCAAGCCUAACCAUAUUUGCAAUAUGUAUAUAAACACGUACUGUGGUUAGCAUAACCAACCUUGAAAUCUGGUUAAUUUACCAGAUUUUUGAACAUGUAAAACAGUAUAUAAUAUAUAAUGUAGUAAUGUAAUAUAAACAAUGUUUCUAAAUUCAGUAGCAUUGAAUCGAACGACAUCGAUCAUAUUCCCACAGCAUC